rnacentral:rRNA from 1 species
GUGUCAGCAGCCGCGGUAAGACAGAGGGUGCAAACGUUGCUCGGAAUCACUGGGCGUAAAGGGCGUGUAGGCGGGAAUGUAAGUCGGGCGUGAAAUCCCUAGGCUCAACCUAGGAACUGCACUCGAAACUGCGUUUCUUGAGUGCCGGAGAGGAAAGCGGAAUUCCUGGUGUAGAGGUGAAAUUCGUAGAUAUCAGGAGGAACACCAGUGGCGAAGGCGGCUUUCUGGACGGUAACUGACGCUGAGACGCGAAAGCGUGGGGAGCAAACAGGAUUAGAAACCCCCGUAGUCC